UACCAUAAGAUGGCGUCCGUGGCGGCUGCACGAGCAGUUCCUGUGGGCAGUGGGCUCAGGGGCCUGCAACGGACCCUACCUCUUGUAGUGAUUCUCGGGGCCACGGGCACCGGCAAAUCCACGCUGGCGUUGCAGCUAGGCCAGCGGCUCGGCGGUGAGAUCGUCAGCGCUGACUCCAUGCAGGUCUAUGAAGGCCUAGACAUCAUCACCAACAAGGUUUCUGCCCAAGAGCAGAGAAUCUGCCGGCACCACAUGAUCAGCUUUGUGGAUCCUCUUGUGACCAAUUACACAGUGGUGGACUUCAGAAAUAGAGCAACUGCUCUGAUUGAAGAUAUAUUUGCCCGAGACAAAAUUCCUAUUGUCGUGGGAGGAACCAAUUAUUACAUUGAAUCUCUGCUCUGGAAAGUUCUUGUCAAUACCAAGCCCCAGGAGAUGGGCACUGAGAAAGUGAUUGACCGAAAAGUGGAGCUUGAAAAGGAGGAUGGUCUUGUACUUCACAAACGCCUAAGCCAGGUGGACCCAGAAAUGGCCGCCAAGCUGCAUCCACAUGACAAACGCAAAGUGGCCAGGAGCUUGCAAGUUUUUGAAGAAACAGGAAUCUCUCAUAGUGAAUUUCUCCAUCGUCAACAUACAGAAGAAGGUGGUGGUCCCCUUGGAGGUCCUCUGAAGUUCUCUAACCCUUGCAUCCUUUGGCUUCAUGCUGACCAGGCAGUUCUAGAUGAGCGCUUGGAUAAGAGGGUGGAUGACAUGCUUGCUGCUGGGCUCUUGGAGGAACUAAGAGAUUUUCACAGACGCUAUAAUCAGAAGAAUGUUUCGGAAAAUAGCCAGGACUAUCAACAUGGUAUCUUCCAAUCAAUUGGCUUCAAGGAAUUUCACGAGUACCUGAUCACUGAGGGAAAAUGCACACUGGAGACUAGUAACCAGCUUCUAAAGAAAGGUAUUGAGGCUCUGAAACAAGUAACUAAGAGAUAUGCCCGGAAACAAAACCGAUGGGUUAAAAACCGUUUUCUGAGCAGACCUGGUCCCUUUGUCCCCCCUGUCUAUGGCUUAGAGGUAUCUGAUGUCUCGAAGUGGGAAGAGUCUGUUCUUGAACCUGCUCUUGAAAUCGUGCAAAGUUUCAUCCAGGGCUGCAAGCCUACAGCCACUCCAAUAAAGAUGCCAUACAAUGAAGCUGAGAACAAGAGAAGUUAUCACCUGUGUGACCUCUGUGAUCGAAUCAUCAUUGGGGAUCGCGAAUGGGCAGCGCAUAUAAAAUCCAAAUCCCACUUGAACCAACUGAAGAAAAGAAGAAGAUUGGACUCAGAUGCUGUCAACACCAUAGAAAGUCAGAGUGUUUCCCCAGACCAUAACAAAGAACCUAAAGAGAAGGGAUCCCCAGGGCAGAAUGAUCAAGAGCUGAAAUGCAGCGUUUAAGAGACAUGUCCAGUGGCCUUUGGAAAGGUGGUGGGGAUCCAGUUCAGGAGGGAGGGGUAUGUUUGUCUCCCAGUCUGGGCAAAGGAGUGCUAUGCAGAAUUUUCUGCAUAGCAGAAAAGCUCCCACCAUUUUCUUUUGAUGUGGUUUUAAAGUCUCAUGUUCUCUAUAAUAGAAACAGCAGGUCUCGUCAGCUCCUUGUGUGGCUGAUGUGUCUGGAAAUGAUGUAGUUCAGGAAAGCAUUUUUUUUUCUUUGAACCUUAAAGGUUCUAUUAUUAAAAGCGGCACAGAUUCCACAUUUUUAUACAUGAGGAUCUUCUUUGUGGUGAAUACCAGGAUUGACUGCAUCCCUUUAAAGAAGUUUUAUGUCCCUGACUCUGGCUAAAAUUAUCUAAUUUCCAGAUGCUUUUGUAGAUGACUGAAGUAUUUGUGAGCCACAUAUUGGGAGUUCUAGAUUUGAGUGAAUGGCAGGAAAGGGCCAUCUCCAUUGAGAUGAUUAAGUGAACCAAACUAGUUCUCGGAAUUCUACAGAGAAGGAGGGAAUCAGACUGAGGAAGCUGUGACAUGGGACUUGAAGACCAAAGACUUUGAAAUUUGCGAGCUGCUCACGUCCCUGGGAGGGAGAUGCUGUUUCCUUUGCUGUUAACCAGGGAAGAAACUAAGGCUCAGCAAUGGAGUACAGCUAGCAAGCGGUAGAGCUGGAAUUGAGGUUCAAGCGAUUCUCCUGCCUCAGCCUCCUGAGUAGCUGGGAUUACAGGUGCCUGCCACCACGCCCGGAUAAUUUUUGUAUUUUUAGUGGAGAUGGGGUUUUGCCAUGUUGGCCAGACUGGUCUCAAACUCCUAACCUCAGAAACAGAGUUUUGCCAUGUUGCCCAGUCUCGAACUCCUGAGCUCAAGCGAUCCUCCUGCCUUAGCCUCCCAAAGCGCUGGGAUUACAGACGUGAGCUACCUCGCCCGGCCUCUUUCGUUUUUAUAUUCUACAGAAGGUAAAAUAGAAAUGAGUUCAUUCAUCAAGCAUCCUUUGAGUUUUUACUGUGUAUCAGCCCUGAGUAUAUGAAGAUGAACAUGUCAUGGUCCCCUUCCCUCACUUUGCCCACCUUAGAGAAAUCGGUUUCCUGGGCCCUCCUCUGCUCUUGGGCCACAAGCCCUCCCUGAAUGAUCUCAUCUACUCUCAGGCUUUGGCUCCCACCUGUUCUGCAGGAUGAGCAGGCUUUUUUGUUUGUUUUUUAAUGAUAUGUGACUAUUAUCCCGUGCCCUUUGUCUUCAGUGCUUGCAUGUUCGGUUUGACCCAUGGGAAAUUCCCCUCAGAUAUUUCCGUUACUGUCAGAAAUACCUUGGUGCUGUCCACAGGUAUAGCUUGAGUUAAACUGGCUCACACACUAAAAAGCAUCUUCGCAUGCACCCGUGGGACAGGGGUGGCUCUUCAGGAGCCAGCAGAGCUUGCCCAGAAGCAACUCAGCAGCGCUGAAUCUACUUGGACCUUUGGCCUGUGGACUGCCCUGCACGGCCCUGGCAGGAGUGAGGCUGCCUGUCCCAGAAGUGACACAUGGGUACUCCUCGGAAGAGUCGAUUUAGCUUCUAUUCACUGUCAAAGAGGGAAGUGAGUAAGGAAGGGUGCUAGGAGGGUGGUUUAAGUGCCCAACAGCUGCAUUUAGGAGAGACUUUUGGUCUCACAUCACAGAGUAUGAGCUAAAAAAGGAAACCCAUGUCCUUGGCCACAUGUUCUCCCAGCAGUUUUCAGAUUGGAGCCUGUGUGUACUGAUCACUCUCAAGUUCUGCCCUAGGUCCCAGACCUUCCUUCUGGAUGUCCCAUGCACACUUCAGACUCACCAUGUCCAAGACAGGACACAUUACCGUCCCACCAUUCCCCAAACCGCCCCCUCCUCACUAUCCACAGUCCUGAUUGUAAUAGUCUCACUGACAGCCCCAUCACCCAAGCCAAAAUCCUCACCUCUUCCUCAACCCUUUCUGGGACCCCUCCCUUUCCUUCUUUGAUAACCACCUGGUCACAAAGUCUUAACCAUCUGUAUUGGCUUCCUAUUGUUGAUGUAACAAAUGCCAUUGACCCUUAAACAACAAGGGUUUGAAGUGCAUGGGUCCACUUAGACACAGAUUUUUUUCAACCGCAGAUCACAAAUACAGUGUUUGCAGGAUGCGAGGCCUGCGUAUACAGUGGAUUCCACAUGUACCUGCCAUUACUUCAGGACUCGAGUAUAUGGAUUUUGGCGUACUUAGGGGGUCCUGGAACCAAUCCCCCACAGAUAGUGAGGGACAACUCUAACCACAAAUUUUAUGGCUUAACGCAACACAAAUUUAGGAUCGUUCUUACAGGUGUGGUGAUCAGAAAUCUGAAACGAGUUUUGUGCACUAAACUUAAGCUGUCGGCAGGGUCAGUUCCUCUGGAGGCUCUGGGGGAGAGUCCACUACCCGUCCUCCAGCUUUUCCAGGUGGCCUGCAUUCCUCGGCUUAUAGCCACAUCACUUGGAUCUCUGUGUCUGCCGUCAUGUUGCCUUCCUCCUACUCACUGUUGUGGAGGACCCCUGUGAUUACAUUGGGCCCCUGGAUAACCUAAAAUAAUCUCCUCAUCUCUAGAUCAUUAAUUUAGUAACAUCUGCAAGGUCCCUUUUGUCAUUUAAAAUGACAGUCACAGGUUCUGGGGAUUAGGAUGUGGACAUCUUCCACACCAUCCUGACCACUUACCAUUCCUGAACUCACCUGUUCCAGCUGUCAUUGCUCUUCAGGCCAGGUCAUCUCCCUUCUAGGCUGUUCAAACAGCCUCCUAAUUGGUCUCCGCCUCUGGUCCUACCCCCUUCAACCCAUGAUCCUUCUAAUAGCAUCUUCUGUGUCUCUCUCUUGAUUCUGAGUUUGUACUGACUCCCUGUUAUCAUCAGGAUCCAGUCUGAGUGCCUUAGAUGGUGUGUGAGGUCUUCUGAGGUCUUUAUCCUGCUCACUCCUUCAGCCAAAUCCCCCACCUGCCAUCACAAAGCUAUUUUCCAUGCUUCAAGAGAGAAUAGUGUGGCUUUUAGAGCUCCUGAGGCUUUUAGAGCUUCUUUUUUUUGAGACAGAGUCUCGCUGUGUUGCCCAGGCUGGAGUGCAGUGGUGUGAUCUCGGCUCACUGCAACCUCCACUUCCCAGGUUCAAGCGAUUCUCCUGCCUCAGCCUCCUGAGUAGCUGGGACUACAGGCACAUGCCACCAGGCCUGGCUAAUUUUUAUUUUGUUAGUAGAGACAGGGUUUCACCAUGUUGGCCACGCUGGUCUCGAACUCCUGAACUCCCGAACUCCCAAAGUGAUCCACCUGCCUUGGCCUCCCAAAGUGCUGGGAUUACAGACGUAAGCCACCGUGCCCAGCCUUGAGGCCACACAUCUCAGGCCUGGGUCUCAGCUUGCCAAACUGGAAUUCUUGGGCCAGUAACUUAACAUGCCUGUGCCUUGGUUUCUUCUUUUUCUUUCUUUCUCUUUCUUUCUUUCUUUCUUUCCUUCUUUUCUUUCUUUUUCUUUCUUUCUCUCUCUCUCCCUCUUUCUUUCUUCCUCUCUCUCUCCCUCUUUCUUUCUUUUUCUUUUUUUGAGACAGGAUCUCACUCUGUCACCCAGGCUGGAGUGCAGCGGCAAGAUCUUGGCUCACUGCAGCCUCAACCUCCCGGACUCAAGCAAUCUUCCCACCUCAGCCCCCCAAGUAACUGGGACUACAGGCACGCACCACCAAGCCCAGAUAAUUUUUGUAUUUUUUGUAGAGAAAGGGUUUUGCCAUGUUGCCCAGGCUGGUCUCCAACUCCUGAGCUCAAGCAAUCUGCCCGCCUCAGCCUCCCAAAGUGCUGGGAUUACGGGCAUGAGCCACCGCGCCCAGCACCCUGUGCCUCAGUUUCAUCUUUUAAAAGUCCCACAAAAGUUGUGAUGAUUAAAUUAAUACUUUAAAAGUAUCUAUUAAAACAGUGCUUGAGCCCGGUGCAGUGGCUCACGCCUGU